AAUCCCGAUUUCGGUAAAUAUGUUGGUAGUUAAGAGAGAUUCUGAUGCUCAAAGGGUUUAACCAAUUCUUAUGCAAAUUUGCAAUGCCAUAGAAGAGUUUUUGGUGUUUUUGCAAUUGUGAUUCUAUGAUUUAGGAACAUGCUUACCACUGCAAAUAGCACUAGUGAUCAGUAAUUCAUCAUUUGUUCAACGGGGCAUAAUUCUGAAUGUUACCGGGCAAACGAGGCAUUUGUCAAAUUCUUCUCUUGUUGCUAAGUGAGUCCUUUUGUUAUCCAGCAUCUGUUCCCCGGUCAUGCCAAGCUUUUUUUAUGGGGAAAGGUAGGUGCUCUGUCAUUGCAUUUAGUAGGUGGAAAAUUUACAGUAUUGAAAAACAAAAAGAAAUCCGAGCCUGAAAUGCAGCUCGCCUGUACAAAUAAACCAAAAGCUUAGAGGCCCCUGGAAUCCUAGAGGAGGCGCACUCAGCUCUAUUCUUGCAGGAUCGCCGGAGUGAGAUGCUUGGUCUGAAAGAUUCGUGAGUUUUUUUUUCAAUCCAUAGGUUCUAGGCGAUGUAGUUAGCAGUGACAAGAGGCGGAGAUGCUGGGAUGUUGGAGCUUUCACCGUUUUAGUCCACCAUGAUCGAAUUGAGGCGAAACUGAGAGCAGCUUGGGACACUCCGGGAUCGGAGUCGAGGAAGCAGGCCCAGACUUUGGCGUAGGGGCACACCUUCGUGAUGUGGGCUGCAGUUUCCCUACAAACUGAAAGUUUAUUAAAAGAACUGAAAGUUACGAAAUGGACCGUCAUACUAUAUAAGUCUAUAUUACAAGAAAGCAGGAAUAGGAAGUCCAAACUUUCCUAAAAUUUUCGUGUGUGCAUGCAUGCUGACAACCAAAAUACACAAAAAUGGUAACUGGCAUAAUCACUAAGUUUUAGCUUGCCAACUCUAAUCUGUUCUAAACCUGAGCUUUGGCCUCACAUGGGCUACAUUAUCAUUGUGCAUCUUUGUCGAGCAGCUAGCCAGCUACUCAUGUUAAUCGAGAUAGUUUGGACCUUUGGAUCAACAUUCUAGCAAUUAACAGGUUCACCACGAGCCAGAAAAGCGUUCAAAAUUACCUAAGCCUGCAUUGAUCUUCUCUGCAAAUCUCCUCUCUGAAACAAAAAGAGCUGAAGAUAGGGUCCAGUUCGUUAUGCAAUCUUAGGAGUUGUUCUCCCUUCUCCGUAAGAUAUGUUGUAAAAGCCAAACGCUCUCAUUUCUUCAUUUCAAGCCUCUGUGCAGCAAAGGUACCAUGUAUUCAGUGUACGUGUUGAGAAGGUCCUCCCAAAUCCGUAAUCCAUAGGCCUACAAACAUGAGUGAGACAACAAAUGAGUGAAAAGAUCUCUCAAAAUAAAAACAAACGUGUGAAAACCGAGCGGAUCAAGAUAAGAUCCAUACAAGAAUCAAGAAAUAAAAGAUAAUCACCAUGAACUUUCUAUUAAGUUUAUGUUCCAGAGCAUUUUAACAAGGCCAGAUGUUGUUUGUCAUGGUCUAUCGCUGCAAGUCUAAACACGGGAACAAUCACAGAAGAUCACAAUAAUUACGCAUUUGAGGGUGAGUGUUACCACUGACUAUUGCAGAAGUUUUGGAACUAAUCCUUCAACCUAGGAGAUUGGAAACAAAAAACUUGAGCAUGUUAAUUAUCUGAGUUAUGGAGGUACUAAUACACUGAACUUGGAGGAUCACAAAUUCUGAAAGCUACCAUGGACGGUAAUCACUUGAUGAAGUUUAAGAAGUAUAUGUAAAUUGUCAGACCAUUAGAGGAAUGUGCGAUUGUACCAUGGAUUCACUGAAUAAAAAAUACCAGGUCCGAUGAAAAUAAAAAUCUCAAAAGGUCGUAUGCAUUGAUAACGGCAUCCCUAUUAGCUGGUCCAAAGUUCUUUUGGUUUUAAUUGCUUCCAAAAUACUCUGUCCAGGUAAUGUUGGUGGUAGAGAUUGAUGGGGGCGAUUAACGAUAUUGAUUGUAGAGAUUGAUGGGGGCGAUUUCGUGAAAUCUCGCCAUGUUUGCGCACCAAUUUUUUUUCCGAUUUGAGCCUUGGUAGCUGGGGUUAGGUGCUGAUAUAUGUAAGGAAACGCAGGUUCCAAAGCCUAACACCUUGAGAUUGAUACCCUCUUCAGUCUUCACUAGAUCUACAGUCUUCACACAACAAAAUCUCAUCUAUCGUCUUUGCCGAUCGAUCGAUGGCCUUUGUGGCCAACAACUGGUCGUUGCUCCCUGUGGAACUUAUUUGCAUCAUUGUGAAAUUCCUCCUGUUGAAUGAAGACCUUGAUACGUACAUGGACUUCCGUGCCGUGUGCCAUGACUGAUGCGGCGUCGCCACCGGCCUGGCGGCGGAUGGCACCACGCGAAUGACCACUGUGGUGUCGUAUGCUGCGGGGCCGGUGGCGGUGCCGCGCCAACAUUGGCACACGACAUGGAGUGCCAUGUACGCAUAAAGGUUUUCAUUCAAUAGGAGGAAGUUCACGAUGAUGCCAAUCAGCCCCACUAGGAGCAAGGACCAAUUAUUGACCAUAGGGGCAUCUGUCGAUCGGUAGAGAUGAUCGACAAGAUUUUGUUGUGUGAAGACAAACCGCAAUGGCUUCUUUUAAAGACUCCAAUUCAGUGCAGUUUGUUGCCCUCCACCGAGGUGGGACUAAAAAUCGGAGACACGCUGCUCAGCAGCUAGCGAAUCGGGACAAGGCGGUAGCGAUCGAAUGCAGCCUGCCACCAAGGCUUGAGGCCCAUAUAACAAUAUCAGCCCAUUUUCCCAGCUCGUCUAGCUUUUAGUACUACCUCUGUCCGUGUUUAAAAGGCUUGCGCAUGUUCCUAGAUAACUAAUUUAACUAACGAAAUAUAGUUAUAUGACAAAAAAAAUGUAUAUCACUAAAAAGUUUUUUCGAUCACGAGUCUAAUGGUAUACUUUUUGUGCAAUAUAAUACAUACUUAGUUCAUCAAAUUGAUAAUCUAUGAAUACGCGUAGGCCUUGUAAACCUGUACAGAGGUAUCACCAUGUACUAGUGCUAGUCUGCAAAAGAAAAAGAAAAAGGCAGGUACUGCACGCAGAACUAAUCAUGCCAUGCUUGGUGUGAGAACUAAGAAGAACAGAUUUCUUCUUCUUUAUUUUGACAAGUCUUACAACGAUGUUUACUGUUUUCUAUAUGUGUUGCUCGAAAAUUCGCAUCAACAUUGUUAUUACCGAAAGUGAACCGAAAUUGAUGGUUAUUACCGAAAGCUAACCGUACUUUAUUUUAAUACGAACCUAUCUACCGAAGUAUAAACCAUACUAAACCGAAAACUGUAUUAACAGAACUGAUUUAACUGAAAUAGCCGAACGCACACCGUGAGCAGAGUGGCGGGAGACGUGAAUGAGCAACGUCGAAAAGAGUCAGAAAAUCAGAUACCUGUGUGAUGGGCCGCUGAUAUGGGGCUAAUAUAGAGGAUACUUGAGGUCGCCAGCCUUUGGUCAUCUGGCAGCCAGGGCGGAGGAAGUGACAUGAGAUAUCAUAAGGAGAUUGUGUCUUCCUUGGAUGAAAAUGGGUAUAAUCCUGAAGUUCGAGGGGCCAAAUUGCCAGUUUUCACACUCUAAACACAAAUUAAUACCUACUACCUCCGGUUCAUAAUAAGUGUCGCGGAUUUAGUAAAACUUACUAAAUUAGCGACACACAUUAUGGAUCGGAGGGAGUAUUACUUAGCUGAAUCUUUUUUGGCUCGGGGCGGCGGCCCCUGCUGGCCUCCAAGUAUCUCCGCCACGGCGUGGACAGCUGUGAAGAUUGUAUAGGUAUAUAGGAUAUAGGAUGUCAUAGAAGUUUUCGGUUUUUUUGCAGGUGUGAUUAUAAGAAUUAACCACUGCAAAAAAGCACCAGUGAACAGUAAUUCUUCAUUUGUUCAGUGGGGCAUAAUUCUAAAUGUCACUGAGGUCCAGGGGCAACAAGGCAUUUGCCAAAUUUCUUCCAUCUGCUAAGUGAGUCCUUUUAUCUAGCAAUCUGUUCCCGGCCAUGCCAACUUUUAUGGUGGAAAGUGAUACAGUUGCGUCUUUAGCAAAUGGUAUAGGGUACUGAUUGCGGGCGCUGGAAGCUUUGCUUAUGGGGUCACCCAAGAUGGAAGAGCAGCGAGAGCAGUUGGUGUUGAUCCUGUUUUCAACUACUGGGGCGGACAGAUUCUUGUAUGAUUUAUCGGGCCUUAUUGCAGCUCUUAUUCAUGUGGUGGUAUCUUCUGCGGCUGAAAAUGGUGAUGGAUGAUCUAGCAAGUGGGUCAGGGUAAGCGGCCAGAUCAGGCUGCCGGUAAAUGUCGUCAUCCAUGGCGCCGCCUCCUCUCAGCGACUCCUCCCAUUACCGCGUCAAGGAGGACCAACCCGUUGCACAUGCCGACAUGUUUUUUUCCGAGUAGGAGGAACUCUUUGGCCUCUGCAUCGAAGCGAUAACACGUGCGGGCACAUAUGCAUGGGUGAUGGGACGCCUGCACGACACCGGGCAAUGUGGAGUGCAUGGUGGUCGUGCAGGAGUCCUCCAGGAAGAGAACAUCUCUGCAUUCUCACCCAGCGAUGGAUGAUGCAGAUUUACAUAUGCUUUAGAAUUUAAGAAUUCUGAGUUGAGCAGACGCAGGGACUCCUGAAGUCCUGAUGAUGCUGUUGAUGUGAUGUUUACAGAUUCUCGAUUUACUAAGUUGAGAUGUGAUUCAGUAAACAAGGGUAUAGUCCAGAGUUGUUGUUAUGUUGAAUUUUAAAGCUGUAUCUGUAUCUGUAUUUCUGUUCAGCACACCAGUCUUUGGCCUGGUUGGUGAAAGAAAUUCCAAUUCUGAGAGGUUUGA